UACGUAGGGAGCAAGCGUUGUCCGGAAUCAUUGGGCGUAAAGCGCGCGUAGGCGGCUCUGUAAGUCCGUUGUGAAAGUCAAAGGCUCAACCUUUGAAAGCCGAUGGAUACUGCAGGGCUAGAGUCCGGAAGAGGCGAGUGGAAUUCCUGGUGUAGCGGUGGAAUGCGCAGAUGUCAGGAGGAACACCCAUAGCGAAGGCAGCUCGCUGGGACGGUACUGACGCUAAGGCGCGAAAGCGUGGGGAGCGAACGAGG
rnacentral:rRNA from 1 species